GAUGAAGAACGCAGCGAAAUGCGAUAAGUAGUGUGAAUUGCAGAAUUCAGUGAAUCAUCAAAUCUUUGAACGCACAUUGCGCCCCUCGGUACUCCUUGGGGCAUGCCUGUUCGAGCGUCAUUUCAACACCUCAAGCCUUAUCUGCUUGGUAUUGGGUGCUCGUCUUGCGCCACUGCGUAGACGCGUCCUUAUUGUAUUGGCGGCAGCGUUCCCCGUCUCAAGCGUAGCAGCAAUGAAUUUCGCUUUGGAGAUCUGGGUUUGCGCCUGCUGAAAUGGUCGGCUGCUCUAGACGGUCGUGCACUUCUAAGAGACCUCGGAUCAGGUAGGGAUACCCGCUGAACUUAAGCAUAUCAAUAAGCGGAGGA
rnacentral:misc_RNA from 1 species